rnacentral:rRNA from 1 species
CAGCAGCCGCGGUAAUGCGGAGGGGGCUAGCGUUGUUCGGAAUUACUGGGCGUAAAGCGCACGUAGGCGGCUUGGUAAGUUAGAGGUGAAAGCCUGGAGCUCAACCUGGGAAUGGCAGUGGAUACUGGCUCGCUAGAGUGUGUCAGAGGAUGGUGGAAUUCCCGGUGUAGCGGUGAAAUGCGUAGAGAUCGGGAGGAACAUCAGUGGCGAAGGCGGCCAUCUGGGACAACACUGACGCUGAGGCACGAAAGCGUGGGGAGCAAACAGGAUUAGAGACCCGCGUAGUCCCUGUCUCUUAUAC